rnacentral:lncRNA from 1 species
CAAUAAACAGUAACAGAACCUACCUUCUGGGAUGGUUGUUUUGAGGAUUACAUGAGCUAAUACAUGCACAGUUCUGUUUGGAAGAGGGCCUGUCAUAUGGACUCCAUAAAUGUUGUGGGGUGGGAAGACAUCGUGUGGUUUUUGUUGUUUUUUCCAUGAUCAUUAUUAUGACAUCCUGGUCUUAUUUCAUGGUUGUGGUAUCUUAGUUUUUCUCUCUGAAGAUUUAGUUCUUUGUUUCCUUCUGCUUUCUGCAUAGGCUGUUUUUUCAGAAUUCCUUUGUUUCUCUUUGUUGUGGUCUAUUUUUUCAUGUUAGGACCUUUCCUCAAAUGUCUGAUGAUCUUUGUCUCUGUGUUGAUAUUGAAGAGUGAGACACUAAAGAGAUGAGAGAGGUUUAAUAACCAGCCUUCAAGAUGGCCCCCAGUGAUUCUCACCUGCUGGUAUUUGCACCUCCUGCGUAGUUCCCUCCUACAUUGACUAGAGCAGCCUGUGUCACCAAUACAUUGCAGAAAUGAUGGAGAGUGACUUCCAGGGCUAGAUCAUAAAAGACAUUUCAGCUUUCACCUUACUGUUUGAGACCAUUUGCUGUGGGUGAGGUUGGCGGCCAUGUUGUAAGGAUACUCAAGCAGUCCUGUGGUGAAGUCCAUGUGGUGGAGAACUGAGGUCUCUUGCCAGGCAUUGGUGCUAACUUGCCAGGUAUGGGAGUGAGCCAUCUUGGAGGAAGAUCCUCCAGCCCCCGUCAAGCCUUUAGAUGACUACAGCUCCAGGCAGCAUCUUGACUGAAACCUCACAAGAAACCCUGAGCCAGAACCACCCAGCUAAGCCAUUCCAGAACUCUUGACCUACAGAAACUGUGAGUGCAGGUGGUGACUUGGAAAAAGGAGAGGAGGAGGAGGUCUACACCAGCCCUUUGAGGAGGACCCGUGUGAGAUAACUGAAAGGAGAAGCCUGAGCAGAUGCUAAGAACAAAGAUUACGUAAUGCAGACCAAAAUAUGUUCCUAUUAUGAUGGCCACAGGAGUUCAGCAAUACCCAAACUAAUUUACUCCUUGUUGGAGAAGACUAGUCCUCUUAGCACACGCUGGGAUGUUACAAGGUCACCUGCUGUCUACGCUUGAGUAACCACCUCCUUAAUCAAGAUAGAGAACAUUCUCAUCACCCAGAAAGUUCCCUCACGUCCGUUUCCAGGCAAUCCUGCAGCUCGUGUCCCUGCCCCAGAGGCAGUCACUGCUCUUGAUUCUAUCGCUAUAGCUCAGAUUUUUUUUAGAACUUCUACGAUUUCUCUAGAACUUCAUAUAA